GUGCUCUCUUUGGCAGCAUGUGUACUAAAAUUGAAACGAUGCAGAAAAGAUUAGCCUGGCCCCUGCACAAGGAUGAUACGCAAAUUCGGGAAGCAUUCCAUAUUAAC